UACGGAGGGUGCAAGCGUUAUCCGGAUUCACUGGGUUUAAAGGGUGCGUAGGCGGGUAGGUAAGUCAGUGGUGAAAUCUCCGGGCUUAACCCGGAAACUGCCAUUGAUACUAUUUAUCUUGAAUGCUGUGGAGGUCAGCGGAAUAUGUCAUGUAGCGGUGAAAUGCUUAGAUAUGACAUAGAACACCAAUUGCGAAGGCAGCUGGCUACACAAAUAUUGACACUGAGGCACGAAAGCGUGGGGAUCAAACAGG
rnacentral:rRNA from 1 species